rnacentral:rRNA from 1 species
AGCGAACGCUGGCGGCAGGCCUAACACAUGCGAGUCGAACGGAUCCUUCGGGAUUAGUGGCGGACGGGUGAGUAACACGUGGGAACGUGCCCUUUGGUUCGGAACAACUCAGGGAAACUUGAGCUAAUACCGGAUGUGCCCUUCGGGGGAAAGAUUUAUCGCCAUUGGAGCGGCCCGCGUCUGAUUAGCUAGUUGGUGAGGUAACGGCCCACCAAGGCGACGAUCAGUAGCUGGUCUGAGAGGAUGAUCAGCCACACUGGGACUGAGACACGGCCCAGACUCCUACGGGAGGCAGCAGUGGGGAAUCUUGCGCAAUGGGCGAAAGCCUGACGCAGCCAUGCCGCGUGAAUGAUGAAGGUCUUAGGAUUGUAAAAUUCUUUCAGCGGGGACGAUAAUGACGGUACCCGCAGAAGAAGCUCCGGCUAACUUCGUG